GCGCCUGCCCCGCCCGCCCGCACACCUGGGAGCGGGAAACGGGCUCCGGGCCGGGGAGUUUGAGUGAAAAAGGUGCAGAUUUGGGGCUCCAGGAAGGGUCUGAAAUGGGCUUGAGUUUGGGGGAUUUGAGAAUAAAAGGUGGCGAUUUGGGACUCCAGGUGUGGUACCUGGUGUAGAUUUGGGACUCCAGGUGUGGCACCCGGUGCAGAUUUGGGGUUCCAGGUGCAGAUUUGGGGUUCCAGGUGUGGGACCCGGUGCAGAUUUGGGGCUCCAGGUGUGGCACCUGCUGCAGCAGGGGAUGCUGGAGCUCCCCUUUGCCCCCUCCCCAGCUCGUCCUCAGCCCAAACCCAGCCCGUUGGGCUUCACUGUGAGGCUUUCAGUAUAAAAAUUACAGAUUUAGGAUUCCAGAUGCAGCACCUGCUGCAGGAGUGUUCUGAAAUGGGCUUGAAUUUGGGAGAUUUGAGACUAAAAGGUGCAGAUUUGGAGGCCCCGGUGUGGUACCUGGCUGAAACAGGUGACCUUGGGGCUCCCUUUGUCCCCCUCCCUAAUUCAUCUUCCCCCAGCUCAGCCCCAGUCCAGGUGGUCUUCACCUGCAGGGGUCUGAAUUGGCCUUGAAUUUGGGGAAUCGGAGUAUGAAAGGUGAAACAUUUGGGGCUCCAGGUGUGGCACCCCCUGCAGCAGGUGGGGGGGGGAUCGACCCCAACAUGUGGGGUUCUUACGGACCCUGGACCUGUCCCAGGUGUGUCCGGGCAGAUUUUGGGUUCCCCCAGGUGCCCCCCACUCUGUGCUGCAGCAGCACCGGGGUCAGGUGAGGCCCCGGC